AAGGCUUUAAGUUAAUUAAACUAAUAGCCUUCAAAGCUAUAUAUAUAAGUAUAAACCUUUUAAGCCUUA
rnacentral:tRNA from 2 species